rnacentral:rRNA from 1 species
UACGUAGGGUGCGAGCGUUGUCCGGAAUUAUUGGGCGUAAAGAGCUCGUAGGCGGUCCGUCACGUCGGGUGUGAAAAUCCAGGGCUCAACCCUGGACCUGCAUUCGAUACGGGCAGACUAGAGUUCGGUAGGGGAGACUGGAAUUCUCGGUGUAGCGGUGAAAUGCGUAGAGAUCGUAAGGAAGACCAGUGGCGAAGGCGAGUUUCUGGACAGUAACUGACGCUGAGGCACGAAGGCCAGGGGAGCAAACGGG